AGCAGCCGCGGUAAUUCCAGCUCCAAUAGCGUAUAUUAAAGUUGUUGCAGUUAAAAAGCUCGUAGUUGAAUUUCGGGGUCAGUAGAUUGGUCAUGCCUCCGGUAUGCACUGGUCUUACUGGCUCCUCCUUCCUGAUGAACCGUAAUGCCAUUAAUUUGGUGUUGCGGGGAGACUGGACUGUUACUUUGAAAAAAUUAGAGUGUUUAAAGCAGGCUAACGCUUGAAUACAUUAGCAUGGAAUAAUGAAAUAGGACGUUCGAUCUUAUUUUGUUGGUUUCUAAGAUUGACGUAAUGAUUAAUAGGGAUAGUUGGGGGCAUUAGUAUUCAAUUGUCAGAGGUGAAAUUCUUGGAUUUAUUGAAGACUAACUACUGCGAAAGCAUUUGCCAAGGAUGUUUUCAUUAAUCAAGAACGAAAGUUAGGGGAUCGAAGACGAUCAGAUACCGUCGUAGUCUUAACCAUAAACUAUGCCGACUAGGGAUCGGAUGAUGUUAAUUUUUAAUGACUCAUCCGGCG
rnacentral:rRNA from 1 species